rnacentral:rRNA from 1 species
AACCUGGUUGAUCCUGCCAGUAGUCAUAUGCUUGUCUCAAAGAUUAAGCCAUGCAUGUCUAAGUAUAAGCGACUUGUACUGUGAAACUGCGAAUGGCUCAUUAAAUCAGUUAUGGUUUAUUUGAUGGUACCUUACUACUUGGAUAACCGUAGUAAUUCUAGAGCUAAUACAUGCAGGAGGUCCCGACUUCGGAAGGGAUGUAUUUAUUAGAUAAGAAACCAACCCGGCUUGCCGGUUGCGUGCUGAGUCACAAUAACUGCUCGAAUCGCAUGGCCUUGCGCCGGCGAUGGUUCAUUCAAAUUUCUGCCCUAUCAGCUUUCGAUGGUAGGAUCGAGGCCUACCAUGGCGUUUACGGGUAACGGAGAAUUAGGGUUCGAUUCCGGAGAGGGAGCCUGAGAAAUGGCUACCACAUCCAAGGAAGGCAGCAGGCGCGUAAAUUGCCCGAAUCCUGACACAGGGAGGUAGUGACAAGAAAUAACAAUACAGGGCUACUUUAGUCUUGUAAUUGGAAUGAGUACAAUUUACAUCUCUUCACGAGGAUCAAUUGGAGGGCAAGUCUGGUGCCAGCAGCCGCGGUAAUUCCAGCUCCAAUAGC